GGGAGGAUAGCUUAGGGGUAGUGCAUUUGACUGCAGAUCAAGAGGUUCCCGGUUCAAAUUCGGGGGUCCCU
rnacentral:tRNA from 1 species